rnacentral:rRNA from 1 species
UACGAAGGGUGCAAGCGUUAAUCGGAAUUACUGGGCGUAAAGGGUGCGUAGGCGGUUGUUUAAGUCUGUCGUGAAAUCCCCGGGCUCAACCUGGGGAUGGCGAUGGAUACUGGGCAGCUAGAGUGUGUCAGAGGAUGGUGGAAUUCCCGGUGUAGCGGUGAAAUGCGUAGAGAUCGGGAGGAACAUCAGUGGCGAAGGCGGCCAUCUGGGACAACACUGACGCUGAAGCACGAAAGCGUGGGGAGCAAACAGG